UGAGUUUAUGACUUCAUAAAUUUUUAAUUGUAGCAGUUUUCCAAUCUUUUGUAUUUCAGGGCAGGAUGUGAUGGAUUUGGAUGUUGCAUCUUAUCAGUACUCAAAUGACAGAAGAGAGUAAAGUCCACAGUUAUUUCCUCUCCAAAUGUCCCUGAGAGUCAUGAAUAAUGUCCAGAUUUAACUUAGAUCUCCAAGCUGAUGGAGAACUAUAUAUAUCUAAUAAAGAAGGAUUCAAUAAUAAA